rnacentral:tRNA from 1 species
CGCGGGAUGGAGCAGUUGGUAGCUCGUCGGGCUCAUAACCCGAAGGUCGUUGGUUCGAAUCCAGCUCCCGCAACCA